UUCGUCAAACGAAACAUCACUGUCUGUGAUCGGACGCCGAAUUUCUCCAACUCUCAAAAACUUAUAUCAUAUGAUAUUAUAAGUUGAGAAUCAUUUAAGACUGUGUGAACUUUCAGGCUGAAGCUAUUCAUAUUCUUUAUUUUUAAAGAACGCAUGCAUUUAUCCUUUAUGAUAAACCUUCCUUUCUUCUGAGCGAUGAGCUGUAACUUGGAAGUUGUUUACACACGUUGACAACAGACGACAUCGGAACUGUUACCGUGACCUAGAUAUACAGGCGAUAUAUCCUAAAUUUUUAAACGGGAACCAGUUUUACAUCAGUAAAAUGUUGUUAUCUCCCUUAGUAUCGGAAGUCACCUUAAA
rnacentral:lncRNA from 1 species